ensembl:snRNA U6 U6 spliceosomal RNA
CAGCUCACUUCGGCAGCACAUAUACUAAAAUUGGAAUGAUAAAAAGAAGAUUAGCAUGGUCCCUGCAGGAGGCUGACAUACAAAUUCAUGAAGAGUUCUGUUUUUUG